UACGGAGGGGACUAGCGUUGUUCGGAAUUAUUGGGCGUAAAGAGCGUGUAGGCGGCCAGAUAGGUCCGUUGUGAAAACUCGAGGCUCAACCUCGAGACGCCGAUGGAAACCAUUUGGCUAGAGUCCGGAAGAGGAGAGUGGAAUUCCUGGUGUAGCGGUGAAAUGCGCAGAUAUCAGGAAGAACACCCGUGGCUAAGGCGGCUCUCUAGUACGGUACUGACGCUGAGACGCGAAAGCGUGGGGAGCGAACAGG
rnacentral:rRNA from 1 species